rnacentral:SRP_RNA from 1 species
UUGGGCCCUGUGCGACAGGGUGCUGUGAACUCCGCCAGGUCCGGAAGGAAGCAACGGUAAGCGGUUACUCUGGGUGCCGCAGGA